rnacentral:rRNA from 1 species
UACGUAGGUGGCAAGCGUUGUCCGGAUUUAUUGGGUUUAAAGGGUGCGUAGGCGGCCUUGUAAGUCAGUGCUGAAAUAUCCCGGCUUAACCGGGAGGGUGGCAUUGAUACUGCAGGGCUUGAGUAAAGUUGAGGUUGGCGGAAUUGACGGUGUAGCGGUGAAAUGCUUAGAUAUCUGGAGGAACACCGGUGGCGAAGGCGGCAUCCUGGACCGGUAUUGACGCUGAGGCGCGAAAGCCAGGGGAGCAAACGGG